rnacentral:rRNA from 1 species
UACGUAGGUGGCAAGCGUUGUCCGGAAUUACUGGGUGUAAGGCGCGCGUAGGCGGUAGGCCAAGUCUGCUGUGAAAUCGCCCGGCUCAACUGGGCGCGGUCGGUGGAAACUGGUCAACUGGAGGACGGUAGAGGCGAGUGGAAUUCCCGGUGUAGUGGUGAAAUGCGUAGAGAUCGGGAGGAACACCAGUGGCGAAGGCGGCUCGCUGGGCCGGACCUGACGCUGAGACACGAAAGCGUGGGUAGCAAACAGGAUUGAGAA